UCCGCGGGCGACUCUGAAGCGCCCCUUCGUGCCGCUGCGGCCCUCGGGAGAUGCAGGUCAGGACACGCAGCCCCGGCCAGGCAGGCCGUGCUACUGAGCAGGCUGCGGGAUCCUCAGCGACGCCGGGCGGUGCCAGCGCUUCCCGGGAAGCGGGCACACACGAGCGCCGUGCCCGGCCUGCGUGACCCCUCGCCGCUGCCCUUGCCCGCAGCCGCCGGGCCCGGCCCGGCCCAUGGACAGCGGCUGGAGGAUUGAUUUCCUGCUCUGACGUCGCCUCCCGGCUCCAGCCUGGCAGGGAGCGCUCUGCGGAGACACCGAGCCAGCCCGCCGCCCCCUCGCCCGCCCGGCCAGCCCCUUACCUCUCCCGCGGGGCGCCGGGGAUGUGGUCGUACUUGGCGUGGAUGUACUGCACGUAGCAGCAGUACAGGACGAAGGCCAGGAGGGACAGGGCCAGCAGGAGCCCCCCCGCCGCCCACAGCACCUCCAUCACCGCCGGCUGCCAGCGCCUCCUCCCGCCCCGAGCAAAGGGCGGCCCGGGCGGCCGGGAGAAUCCCCGGCUGCGGGCGGGGACGGCUCCAGUUAAAGAGCCCGGCGGCGGCGGCCUGCGCUGGGAGCGCGGUGCUGUUCAAACACACCCGCACGGCCUGGGCCGAUGGGUGUGUGCAUGGAUGUGGUCCAGAGGAGGACACGAAGAUGCUCACAGGGCUCGAGCACUUUUCCUAUGAAGACAGGAUGAGACGGUCGGAGCUGUUCAGCCCAGAGAAUAAGAAGGCUCCGGAGAGACCUUAUUGCAGGAGGCUGCAAGAGAGCUGGAGAGGGACUUGUAAAAAGGGCACGUAGUGAUAUGAUAUGGUAAGGGGGAAUGGCUUUGAACUUAAAGAAUGUAGAUCUAGAUUAGAUAUUAGGAAUAAAUUCUUUACUAUGACGAUAGUGAGGCACUGGAACAGGUUGUCCAGAGAAGUUGUGGAUGCCACAUCCUGGAAGUGUUCAAGACCAGGUUGAAUGAGGCUUUGAGCAACCUGGUCUAGCGGAAGGACACGAUCCCAAGACACUCGUGUGUUUAUGAUCUGCCCGGGAGCCACACGCUGCGCUGGGAGGAAGGAGCAAGGCUGGGCUGGGCUGAGCUUCCCCGCGUGUCCCCUUGCUGCUGGGGACUGAACUGCCACCGCGUGGACAUUCUGCCAACCUGCACAUUCCCGAGAAAAAGCCAGGAGCAAGAGAGAUCUGGGAGCCGACCAGAAGAGCAGAGAACUGGGAACUGUUAACAGGUGAAGUUCCAAGGCAAAUGCAUGGGGACGGACAUGAAGAAAACAUAAGAUUACUUUGAACAGAUGCAGCAUCCUCAAG